GAUGAAGAACGUAGCGAAAUGCGAUAAGUAAUGUGAAUUGCAGAAUUCAGUGAAUCAUCGAAUCUUUGAACGCACAUUGCGCCCGUCAGUAUUCUGGCGGGCAUGCCUGUUCGAGCGUCAUUACGCCCCUCAAGUCCCCUGUGGACUUGGUGUUGGGGAUCGGCGAGGCUGGUUUUCCAGCACAGCCGUCCCUUAAAUUAAUUGGCGGUCUCGCCGUGGCCCUCCUCUGCGCAGUAGUAAAACACUCGCAACAGGAGCCCGGCGCGGUCCACUGCCGUAAAACCCCCCAACUUUUUAUAGUUGACCUCGGAUCAGGUAGGGAUACCCGCUGAACUUAAGCAUAUCAAUAAGCGGAGGA
rnacentral:misc_RNA from 1 species